rnacentral:rRNA from 1 species
AGUGGCGAACGGGUGAGGAACACGUAAGAAUCUGCCCCUCGGUCGGGGACAACUCUUGGAAACGAGAGCUAAUACCCGAUACGCUGUGGAGUGAAAGAAUUUCGCCGAGGGAUGAUCUUGCGUCUGAUUAGCUAGUUGGUGUGGUAACUGCACACCAAGGCGACGAUCAGUAGCUGGUCUGAGAGGAUGGACAGCCACAUUGGAACUGAGACACGGUCCAAACUCCUACGGGAGGCAGCAGUGGGGAAUUUUCCGCAAUGGACGAAAGUCUGACGGAGCGACGCUGCGUGAAGGAUGACGGCCCGCGGGUUGUAAACUUCUUUUCUCGAAGAAGAAACAAAUGACGGUAUUCGAGGAAUAAGCAUCGGCUAACUCCGUGCCAGCAGCCGCGGUAAGACGGAGGAUGCAAGUGUUAUUCGGAAUGAUUGGGCGUAAAGAGUCUGUAGGCUGUAUAGAAAGUCUUUUGUUAAAUUCCUCGGCUCAACCGA